rnacentral:rRNA from 1 species
UGGGAACGUGCCCUUUGGUUCGGAAUAACUCAGGGAAACUUGAGCUAAUACCGGAUAAGCCCUUACGGGGAAAGAUUUAUUGCCAAAGGAGCGGCCCGCGUCUGAUUAGCUAGUUGGUAGGGUAAUGGCCUACCAAGGCUACGAUCAGUAGCUGGUCUGAGAGGAUGAUCAGCCACAUUGGGACUGAGACACGGCCCAAACUCCUACGGGAGGCAG